CCCCAAAUGUAACAUAGAGCCCUGUAAUAUCGGGACAGCGAAACGGUACCUAUCAUAUAGGCUGUUGGCUACAGUCGAGCUCACAAACAUCUUUUCAAGCCAACGUUCCAAAAAUAUAUGUACACGCCUCUAGCAAUAACGGUAUGUACAAAUAUUUUUGGAACUUCGGCUUGUAAAGAUGUCUGUCUCGACCGUAGACGUCAAGAGUCAACACGUGACGUUCCACGGCAAAAGGUACCUUAUGGCGGCUGGCGCUUACGCCGCAUAGCGCCGCAAUAUUGGAGCGGCGUUAAUAAUAGCGUAAGCGCUAACCGCCAUAAGGUAACGUGGGACGUCACAUAUAUUGAAUACAUUUCUAACACUACUAGGUACUUCAAACUCAGUCCUAAGGCUAACUUCUUUAAUAUUGAAUGUAUCUGUGCGACUCGGAGAAGGUAACUUUAGAGACACGACUGCAGUGUUACCGACGCGUGGAAAUAUUAAAUUGGUUUCUAUAAUACAGCCAUACCCUAAGUGUGUUCCGCGGAACCCUAGGGUUCCGCAAGAAUUUAGAACACUAUGAUUUAGUCGCCUCGAAAAUUUUUACUAUACCGCCACCGCCGAUACCAACUUGUGAGCGAUAAAAAACACACUUCUAAAAACUACUGUUUUAUUGUAGGGUUCCAUCAAGUAUUUCGCUUUCCAAAAGGGUUCCGUCAAAAAAGAUUGCGAACCGCUGCUAUAAUAGAUUCAUAUCAACAACUCUUGCAUAGACUUAUAUAAACCGGGAUAUGAACCGUGAUUAACUUUUUUAUCGUUCGUAUAUCCCGGUCGAUACGUGGGCCACACUGAAAGUUUCUGGAUUCUGAAAUAUGGGUCGACUUAUUUUCAAAGUGGCCAGUCCAGGAAUUUUCAGUACGCCCUAAAUAUAAGUCUAGUGAAACCAUUAAGUCAUAUAAUUAUUUUGGCAUAUAAAGCCCAAUGGGCAUUAUAAUUUAUACUCGGAUUUAAUGUUUAUUUAAGCCUAUUAUUAAAAAAGUAGGAUUUAAAAAAAUUAAAAUGCAAUAUUUUUAAAACGGACCCACAAGAUGGACGGACGACCUUUUUAAGGCCGCCGGAAGACGCUGGAUGCGGGUCGCUUCCAACCGGUACGAGUGGAGGUCCAAGGGGGAGGGCUAUGUUCAGCAGUGGACGUCUUAUGGCUGAGAUGAUGAUUCUUAAAACAGAUGUAGCGGCACACAGCUUUGCCAAAUAGCACAAUAGUUUUUUUUAUUAAAUGUGCAACUUAUUUUAUUCAACAAUCAUUUAAAAUACGUACUUUAUCCUCCCGAGACCCAGAAGCAAUUAUUUUGUUUUUCUAAUUGGAACCCUUGGUUACACAAUAAAAGUUCAAAAUGGAUUUUGGAGUAUGUACAAAAAUUGUACGAAGGGACUUAGGAGGUUAUAGAUACAAGGACUUAUGUAUUGGUAAUGCAGUUUUUAUUUAAGUAUUUAAUAGUGAAAGUAAUUUGAAAUGUUAAAUAUAAUCAAUGCUAUUUAGUAUUUUUAGUGUUAUACAAAUAUACCGGCUUCAUAAAAAACAAUUUGAUAUUGUCCACACGUGAUCGGUAUCGCACAACGAUCGACCCAAGAACUAUUCCACCAUAUUGUACAAUGUACAUUAACAAUAAUCCUAGCUUGUAACUUAUUGCCAGCUACAUAUCGAAAACAACGCUAAAUCUUGUUCAAACUGAAAUGUCAAACCAAUGUGUCCGUGCUAGCUUAGAUUCAAGAUCCAAUAGUGAUCCAAAAGACUUGAGCCUUUUAGCUCUUUUUUUAGGGCUCGCCUCAUCUCUUUUCUAUUUCAUUAGUAAAAUAGGCCUUUAGCCUUUUAGGCGUCAAGAGAUGAGGCGAGCCCUCUUAUAUAGUUUGUUUUUUUAGCAUUAGAAAUAAGGUAAACAAUCUUGACGUGUCUUUUUAUUGAAAAACACGUUUUUAAAAUAAGUCACGGCAAAUAUGUAACAAUUAU